rnacentral:sRNA from 1 species
AGCAGCCGCGGUAAUUCCAGCUCCAAUAGCGUAUAUUAAAGUUGUUGCAGUUAAAAAGCUCGUAGUUGAAUUUCGGGGUCAGUAGGUCGGUCGUGCCACGGGUAUGCACUGGUCUCACUGAUUCCUCCUUCCUGAUGAACCGUAAUGCCAUUAAUUUGGUGUUGCGGGGAGACUGGACUGUUACUUUGAAAAAUUAGAGUGUUUAAAGCAGGCUAACGCUUGAAUACAUUAGCAUGGAAUAACGGAAUAGGACGUUCGAUCUUAUUUUGUUGGUUUCUAAGAUUGACGUAAUGAUUAAUAGGGAUAGUUGGGGGCAUUAGUAUUCAAUUGUCGGAGGUGAAAUUCUUGGAUUUAUUGAAGACUAACUACUGCGAAAGCAUUUGCCAAGGAUGUUUU